rnacentral:rRNA from 1 species
GAUGAACGCUGGCGGCGUGCCUAAUACAUGCAGUCGAGCGAACAGAUGAGGAGCUUGCUCCUCUGACGUUAGCGGCGGACGGGUGAGUAACACGUGGAUAACCUACCUAUAAGACUGGGAUAACUUCGGGAAACCGGAGCUAAUACCGGAUAAUAUAUUGAACCGCAUGGUUCAAUAGUGAAAGACGGUUUUGCUGUCACUUAUAGAUGGAUCCGCGCCGCAUUAGCUAGUUGGUAAGGUAACGGCUUACCAAGGCAACGAUGCGUAGCCGACCUGAGAGGGUGAUCGGCCACACUGGAACUGAGACACGGUCCAGACUCCUACGGGAGGCAGCAGUAGGGAAUCUUCCGCAAUGGGCGAAAGCCUGACGGAGCAACGCCGCGUGAGUGAUGAAGGUCUUCGGAUCGUAAAACUCUGUUAUUAGGGAAGAACAAAUGUGUAAGUAACUAUGCACGUCUUGACGGUACCUAAUCAGAAAGCCACGGCUAACUACGUG